GUGGGGAAUAUUGGACAAUGGGCGAAAGCCUGAUCCAGCCAUGCCGCGUGUGUGAAGAAGGUCUUCGGAUUGUAAAGCACUUUAAGUUGGGAGGAAGGGCAUUAACCUAAUACGUUAGUGUUUUGACGUUACCGACAGAAUAAGCACCGGCUAACUUCGUGCCAGCAGCCGCGGUAAUACGAAGGGUGCAAGCGUUAAUCGGAAUUACUGGGCGUAAAGCGCGCGUAGGUGGUUCGUUAAGUUGGAUGUGAAAGCCCCGGGCUCAACCUGGGAACUGCUUUCAAAACUGCUGAGCUAGAGUACGGUAGAGGGUGGUGGAAUUUCCUGUGUAGCGGUGAAAUGCGUAGAUAUAGGAAGGAACACCAGUGGCGAAGGCGACCACCUGGACUGAUACUGACACUGAGGUGCGAAAGCGUGGGGAGCAAACAGGAUUAGAAACCCCUGUAGUCC
rnacentral:rRNA from 1 species